AUUGAACGCUGGCGGCAUGCCUUACACAUGCAAGUCGAACGGCAGCACGGGUGCUUGCACCUGGUGGCGAGUGGCGAACGGGUGAGUAAUACAUCGGAACAUGUCCUGUAGUGGGGGAUAGCCCGGCGAAAGCCGGAUUAAUACCGCAUACGAUCUACGGAUGAAAGCGGGGGACCUUCGGGCCUCGCGCUAUAGGGUUGGCCGAUGGCUGAUUAGCUAGUUGGUGGGGUAAAGGCCUACCAAGGCGACGAUCAGUAGCUGGUCUGAGAGGACGACCAGCCACACUGGGACUGAGACACGGCCCAGACUCCUACGGGAGGCAGCAGUGGGGAUUUUGGACAAUGGGCGAAAGCCUGAUCCAGCAAUGCCGCGUGUGUGAAGAAGGCCUUCGGGUUGUAAAGCACUUUUGUCCGGAAAGAAAUCCUUGGCCCUAAUACGGUCGGGGGAUGACGGUACCGGAAGAAUAAGCACCGGCUAACUACGUG
rnacentral:rRNA from 1 species